UACGGAGGGAGCUAGCGUUGUUCGGAUAUACUGGGCGUAAAGCGCACGUAGGCGGCGCCGCAAGUCAGGGGUGAAAUCCCGGAGCUCAACUCCGGAACUGCCCUUGAAACUGCAGUGCUAGAAUCCUGGAGAGGCGAGUGGAAUUCCGAGUGUAGAGGUGAAAUUCGUAGAUAUUCGGAAGAACACCAGUGGCGAAGGCGACUCGCUGGACAGGUAUUGACGCUGAGGUGCGAAAGCGUGGGGAGCAAACAGG
rnacentral:rRNA from 1 species